AUCCUUUGGCAGUUCAUAGCCAUGAUGAUUGGGUACUCAUGCAUCUGUAUUAGCAAACCUUGUCAUGGCAUUCAGUUUAACA
rnacentral:snoRNA from 1 species